UACGAAGGGGGCUAGCGUUGCUCGGAAUUAUUGGGCGUAAAGGGCGCGUAGGCGGUUUGUACAGUCAGGUGUGAAAUUCCCGGGCUCAACCUGGGGGCUGCACUUGAUACGUAGGAACUGGAGUGGGGAAGAGGGUCGUGGAAUUCCCAGUGUAGAGGUGAAAUUCGUAGAUAUUGGGAAGAACACCGGUGGCGAAGGCGGCGACCUGGUCCUUGACUGACGCUGAGGCGCGAAAGCGUGGGGAGCAAACAGG
rnacentral:rRNA from 1 species